rnacentral:misc_RNA from 1 species
GGUGUGUUAUUCUGAGGUCUAGGUCAGUGUGUUGAGGUUUUUAGAUUUUCUGGCUUGAUUAACUGGGCCUAGUCGGAGAAUAUGAGGAAAACAGAGGAGACCUAGAUUGUUGGUGUAGUAGAGUUUUAUAAGCUUUUAGAUGAAGAAUUUCUCUAUUGGCAAGAUAGAUUAGCCGAUUUCUUAAAGUUCUCCUGAAGUUGAAUAGGCAUGUUAGAGACUGCUAAUUCCCAUUCUUGUAUAGUAUAGGAUUGAUCUAUUUGCUAUGUUGGCCAUGCCAUAUUUUGUUUCGUUUUUUAGGUUGUCUAAAUUAGCUGGCAUUUUGCCAUAGAAUGUUCAAUAAGUUUAUUGCUCAACUGCUAUUGUAGCAUGCAUACACAAAGGCAUAUUUUUGCAUGUCUUUAAGACACAAUGUCAACAAUGGAUGGCACACCUUUGAUUGUUUACUUCUCUGAUAAUUUGUAUCAGAAUGCCACAGUUUUCUGAUGUAAAUCCAAAAGGAGGAGCUAUUAUUCUAAAAAUUUUACCCUGUUUCUCUUUAAUCCAUAGAGAAAUAGUUGAUAUCUGGCAGAUCAUGAGUGUUUGAUUCUUAAUUUAAUAUUUUGGAGGAGUGGGUAAAUCUCCUAGAGUAUAUUUCACUAACGGCUAGACAUUGUUGAAAAGAGUAAAACUCUCAUAAACGUGAAAUUGUUUUCUAAGAAUAAUAGAUAAUGAAUGAUCAGC